ACCACAGCACCCACAACUACCACAGCACCCACAACUACCACAGCACCCACAACUACCACAGCACCCACAACUACCACAGCAUCCACAACUUUAAGUACACACCCAACCACCGAUCUCACAACCCAUAUUGUGGACGGUACAACAACGAGCAGUGGGCCUAGAUACGUUGUUGUACUGAGGAUAAAACUGUCCUCUCUGAUCCCACUAACAGAUGACUACAUCAGAAAUGUGGUUUUACAGCAGCUCCGUGAGGAACUGAUCAGACAAGGGCUGCCAGGGGACUUCGCGCUACGCCUGAGAGCCACUCAUGGGAUCAGUUCCUGAGGGAGGAACAGGAAUUCAGAUCAACAUUCUUCACUCCUACUUGUCUUGUCUUCCUGGUUCUGAUUCUGCAGAAAGUUCUUCUGAAGAAGAAGUGGUUCCUUAUAAUGACAGAAUAUGGUUGAUUUGUACUAAUCUCUUGGGACAGACGCACGUAACAUGAAUUAUGAUUUUUGUUCUGGAUUGCCAGGAUUAGUUGAAUGGACUGACAGUGCUUCUGACUGGAUGUUAGUUGAAUGACUAACAUGACUGGGGUUCUUUACUGUUUGGUAACAUACAGAGGUAGACUGGGGUUCUUUCCUGUUUGGUAAUGUACAGAGGUAGACUGGGGUUCUUUCCUGUUUGGUAACGUACAGAGGUAGACUGGGGUUCUUUCCUGUUUGGUAAUGUACAGAGGUAGACUGGGGUUCUUUCCUGUUUGGUAAUGUACAGAGGUAGACUGAGGUUAUUUCCUGUUUGGUAAUGUACAGAGGUAGACUGAGGUUCUUUCCUGUUUGGUAAUGUACAGAGGUAGACUGGGGUUCUUUCCUGUUUGGUAAUGUACAGAGGUAGACUGAGGUUAUUUUCUGUUUGGUAAUGUACAGAGGUAGACUGAGGGUCUUUACUGUGUCAAGAAUGGUUGGUUGAGGCUCAGUUUUCUGUGACAUUUUAGUGACAGAGGACACCGGUAGGGAGGACCCACUUGUAAACA